rnacentral:rRNA from 1 species
CCUACGGGUGGCAGCAGUGGGGAAUAUUGGACAAUGGGGGGAACCCUGAUCCAGCGAUACCGCGUGAGUGAAGAAGUAUUUCGGUAUUUAACGCUCUAUCAGCAGGGGAGAAAAUGACGGUACCUGACUAAGAAGCCCCGGCUAACUACGUGCCAGCAGCCGCGGUAAGACGUAGGGGGCAAGCGUUAUCCGGAUUUACAGAGUGUAAAGGGGGUGUAGACGGUGCAGCAAGUCCGAGGGGAAAGGUCGGGGCCCAACCCCGGGACUGCAUUGGAAACUGUUGAACUAGCGAACAGGAGAGGUAAGCGGAAUUCAUAGUGUAGCGGUGAAAUGCGUAGAGAUUAGAAGGAACACCAGUGGCGAAGGCGGCUUACUGGACUGUAACUGACGUUGAGGCACGAAAGCGUGGGGAGCAAACAGGAUUAGAUACCCCAGUAGUC